rnacentral:rRNA from 1 species
GACGGUACCGGGUGAGGAAGCACCGGCUAACUCCGUGCCAGCAGCCGCGGUAAUACGGGGGGUGCGAGCGUUGUCCGGAAUUACUGGGCGUAAAGAGUUCGUAGGCGGUUUGUCGCGUCGUUUGUGAAAACCAGCAGCUCAACUGCUGGCUUGCAGGCGAUACGGGCAGACUUGAGUACUGCAGGGGAGACUGGAAUUCCUGGUGUAGCGGUGAAAUGCGCAGAUAUCAGGAGGAACACCGGUGGCGAAGGCGGGUCUCUGGGCAGUAACUGACGCUGAGGAACGAAAGCGUGGGUAGCGAACAGGAUUAGAUACCCUGGUAGUCCACGCCGUAAACGGUGGGCGCUAGGUGUGGGUUCCUUCCACGGAAUCCGUGCCGUAGCUAACGCAUUAAGCGCCCCGCCUGGGGAGUACGGCCGCAAGGCUAAAACUCAAAGGAAUUGACGG